rnacentral:rRNA from 1 species
UUAUUGGGGCGUAAGGGCUCGCAGGCGGUUUCUUAAGUCUGAUGUGAAAGCCCCCGCGCUCUACCGGGGAGGGUCAUUGGAAACUGGGAAACUUGAGUGCACAAGAGGAGAGUGGAAUUCCACGUGUAGCGGUGAAAUGCGUAGAGAUGUGGAGGAACACCAGUGGCGAAGGCGACUCUCUGGUCUGUAACUGACGCUGAGGAGCGAAAGCGUGGGGAGCGAACAGGAUUAGAUACCCUGGUAGUCCACGCCGUAAACGAUGAGUGCUAAGUGUUAGGGGGUUUCCGCCCCUUAGUGCUGCAGCUAACGCAUUAAGCACUCCGCCUGGGGAGUACGGUCGCAAGACUGAAACUCAAAGGAAUUGACGGGGGCCCGCACAAGCGGUGGAGCAUGUGGUUUAAUUCGAAGCAACGCGAAGAACCUUACCAGGUCUUGACAUCCUCUGACAGCCCUAGAGAUAGGGCUUUCCCUUCGGGGACAGAGUGACAGGUGGUGCAUGGUUGUCGUCAGCUCGUGUCGUGAGAUGUUGGGUUAAGUCCCGCAACGAGCGCAACCCUUGAUCUUAGUUGCCAGCAUUCAGUUGGGCACUCUAAGGUGACUGCCGGUGACAAACCGGAGGAAGGUGGGGAUGACGUCAAAUCAUCAUGCCCCUUAUGACCUGGGCUA